GCCCACGGCCAAGCGGAGAUUAGCCUGCACUUUGCUGACCUAGGAGGGCCUGGUUCGUCCUUGGAUGGGAGACCACCAGGAAAUACCAGGUGCUGCUGGUG
rnacentral:rRNA from 1 species